AGGUUCGACUCGAGCGAAGCGAGAGAACGUUGCGUCAGCAACGGCCCGCAGGGCGAGCCACGCAGUGGCGAGUCAUCCUCUCCUGGCGCCUG
rnacentral:sRNA from 1 species